UAAAAAAUAGGUCUCAGUUCAGAUUGCAGGCUGCAACCCGCCUGCAUGAAGUCGGAAUUGCUAGUAAUCGCGGAUCAGCAUGCCGCGGUGAAUACGUUCCCGGGCCUUGUACACACCGCCCGUCACACCAUGGGAGCCGGUAAUACCCGAAGUCAGUAGUCCAACCUCGUGAGGACGCUGCCGAAGGUAGGAUUGGCGACUGGGGUGAAGUCGUAACAAGGUACC
rnacentral:rRNA from 1 species